rnacentral:rRNA from 1 species
UACGUAGGUGGCAAGCGUUGUUCGGAAUUAUUGGGCGUAAAGGGCGCGUAGGCGGCCGGUUAAGUCAGCUGUGAAAGCCCGGGGCUCAACCCCGGAGGGUCGGCUGAUACUGAUCGACUAGAGUACGGAAGAGGUAGCUGGAAUUCCCGGUGUAGCAGUGAAAUGCGUAGAUAUCGGGAGGAAUACCGAUGGCGAAGGCAGGUCUCUGGGCUGACACUGACGCUCAUGCACGAAAGCGUGGGGAGCAAACAGG